AGUGAACGCUGGCGGUAGGCCUAACACAUGCAAGUCGAACGGCAGCACAGUAAGAGCUUGCUCUUACGGGUGGCGAGUGGCGGACGGGUGAGGAAUACAUCGGAAUCUACUUUUUCGUGGGGGAUAACGUAGGGAAACUUACGCUAAUACCGCAUACGACCUACGGGUGAAAGCAGGGGAUCUUCGGACCUUGCGCGAUUGAAUGAGCCGAUGUCGGAGUAGCUAGUUGGCGGGGUAAAGGCCCACCAAGGCGACGAUCCGUAGCUGGUCUGGGAGGAUGGUCAGCCACACUGGAACUGAGACACGGUCCAGACUCCUACGGGAGGCAGCAGUGGGGAAUAUUGGACAAUGGGCGCAAGCCUGAUCCAGCCAUACCGCGUGGGUGAAGAAGGCCUUCGGGUUGUAAAGCCCUUUUGUUGGGAAAGAAAAGCAGCAGGUUAAUACCCCGCUGUUCUGACGGUACCCAAAGAAUAAGCACCGGCUAACUUCGUG
rnacentral:rRNA from 1 species